CCUACGGGAGGCAGCAGUGGGGGAUAUUGCACAAUGGGGGAAACCCUGAUGCAGCGACGCCGCGUGUGGGAAGACGGUCCUCUGGAUUGUAAACCACUGUCCCCAGGGACGAAGAUGACGUUACCUGGGGAGGAAGCUCCGGCUAACUACGUGCCAGCAGCGGCGGUAAUACGUAGGGAGCAAGCGUUGUCCGGAAUUACUGGGUGUAAGGGGAGCGUAGGCGGGAUGGCAAGUUGGGUGUUAAAUCUACCGGCUCAACUGGUAGUCGCACUCAAAACUGCUAGGCUGGAGUGAAGUAGAGGCAGGUGGAAUUCCUAGUGUAGCGGUGAAAUGCGUAGAUAUUAGGAGGAACACCAGUGGCGAAGGCGGCCUGCUGGGCUGUGACUGACGCUGAGGCUCGAAAGUGUGGGGAGCAAACAGGAUUAGAUACCCCAGUAGUC
rnacentral:rRNA from 1 species